rnacentral:rRNA from 1 species
GAUACUAUCGCCGAUGACCUGCUCAUCGAGAUACUGUUGUGUGUUCCUGUAAGGUCAGUGUGCCGCCUGAAGUGCGUCUCCAAGGACUGGCUCAGCCUCAUCGACCACCCCGAUUACCGCAGGAAGCUCCCUCAAACCCUUGCCGGCUCCUUCUACACUCGGAGCGACAAUGGGGAGUUACCUCUGGAAACAGAAGUCCGCUUCACCAGUGUCUUGGGGAAAAACUGCCCUCCGAUGGACACCUUAUUCGCCUUCCUUCCCAGCCACCGGCGUGUCGAUCUAUUGGACUGCUGCAAUGGCCUCCUCCUCUCUCGCUGGUGCGAAGUUUCCGCUCUUGGUGACGAGUUUUGUUACAUCCUGUGCAAUCCUGCCACGAAGGAGUGGGUUUCGUUGCCCGAUCGCAGCCAUGAAAACAAGGUGGGCAUAGAGCGUCUGGACUUCGAUCCGACCGUGUCUUCCCACUUCUAUGUGUUUGUGUUACUAGAGGAUGUCAACUUUAACAACUACCGUGCUGAAGUGGAAGUGUAUUCAGGGCCUUGCACAUCCUGCACAUGUGCCCCAUACGGGCCUGAGUGUAUUCAUUGGAAACCAGGAACUGGGUUUACAAGGAAAUUGAUUGCACAACAGGAAACACAAUUCUUUUGUUCUUUCCUUUUUUUGGGGCAAUCUACCGCUGUCUUCCUCAACGGCUGUUUGCAUUUUUACUCCAGCAGCAAAAGGUCACCCUUUUUUAUAGGUGUGGUGGAUACGGUGGGGGAAACAUCGAUGAACUUCCAUAUCCCCGCUCAUUUGAAUAAUGGUUUUAUUCAGCACUCACAGGACUGCCUGCAUUAUGCCAUGUUCGAGAAAGGUGAAGGUGAUUUGGUUCGACUAGUAGUCUAUGUUGACUAUGACCGCAAAGAGUGGAAAUCGAAGCAUAGUGUUGAACCUUUAGACAUAUUUGGAGGGACAAAUGUAACUGAUUCCGAUUUGUUUGCGAUUCAUCCGGUCAAUUUCCGUUGGGUUGUGAUUCGUCCGGAUUAUAACUUAAUCUUCUUCACUGUGGGGUCAGAUUCCACAUUAAUGUGCUAUGAUAUGGACCGUCGGCAAGUCAAAGUGAUCUGCAGUCUUGAUGGCUAUCUGCCACGCCUGCCAUAUGUGCCAUUGUAUGCAGAGUUGCAAUCACUGCAC